GAUUAACGCUGGCGGCGUGCCUAACACAUGCAAGUCGAGCGGCAGCGAGUUUUACACUGAAUUCUGGAAGCUUCUAGUUGAAAGAGAAGAUUUAUUCAAGAAUUUUGUGUAAAAUGUCGGCGAGCGGCGGACGGCUGAGUAACGCGUGGGAACGUACCCCAAAGUGAGGGGUAACGCAUCGAAAGGUGUGCUAAUACCGCAUAUGGUCUUCGGAUUAAAGCCUUCGGGCGCUUUGGGAACGGCCUGCGUAAGACUAGAUAGUUGGUGGGGUAAUGGCCUACCAAGUCGACGAUCUUUAACUGGUUUGAGAGGAUGAUCAGUCAGACUGGAACUGAGACACGGUCCAGACUCCUACGGGAGGCAGCAGUGAGGAAUCUUCCACAAUGGGCGAAAGCCUGAUGGAGCAACGCCGCGUGCAGGAUGAAGGCCUUCGGGUUGUAAACUGCUUUUAUAAGUGAGGAUUAUGACAGUAACUUAUGAAUAAGGAUCGGCUAACUACGUG
rnacentral:rRNA from 1 species